CAUAAAGACAUUUUGAAGCAGAUUAUAUAUGAUGAAUAUAUAUGAUGUAUGUAAGAUGAAUAUAUAUAUUUGUAUACAUAUAUUUCAUCCUUAAGUGGCACUUAAUGAAGAAGAGGCUUCGUGAGCUACUCGAGAUGGAAAAUUUUCAUGGGAAAAAAUGGAAUGUCAUUGAAAAGUUUGGGAAAUCUUUGUGACAACUAUCAACUUUCUUAUCCAAAAAGCUUUCAAAACUCUUUUCCUCUCCUGUUGCCUCUUCCUCACUCUUUCCUUUCUUAUCUUAUUGGGAUAGCGUAAGGUUGAACUGCUGACAAAAUUAAUAGGUUUCGUGCCAUUAAUAAGAACUCUCAGAUGAGUUUGCCUAUUGAAGUGCUUAUCAAUGAACACACAGUAAUACUGAGACAAGGAUAGGAUAGGAAGGGAGACAUGUUUCCUGAGUAUCUCUUUGGGGCCAGGCAGCUGCUAAGUAAGAAUGUGCCCCUCCCUGCCACCAUCUCAACAGUUCUGCUGUUGUUUGUUCCCUUUAUUGGAGUUCCAUGGGCGAUUUUAUUUGUAGAAAGAAUCCAAUUGUUAAGAUUCAAAAACCCUGUAUAGUAAUUACAGACAGUAAAUUAUAAGUAGAGUAAGGGUGGCUGAAUAGAAGCAGCAAACAUGCUUAAGGCAAUGCAAAGCAGUAGCUAAAUUCUGAUGAUAAGGCAAGAGAAAGAAAAACCAAAAGUGUGGACCAAGAACUUCAUAGCAGUGUGGGGCCAUUUUGUGUAUGGAGAACUGACUCUGCAUACUUGUAUGGACAUUAUUACCUUUCUCAUCAGUUAAUAUUUAUUGAACUCUUAGGGUGUGCUGGGCGCUGUUGUAAUUGCGGGAGAUACUAAGAAAUAUUUAGCACAGAUUCUGCCCUAAAGUUUGGUUGACGUAGAAAGAAAAUGUGUCAAAAAAAAUACCCAAGUUACUACAGCCUAUAUGAUAUUGGAAAGUACUAGAAAAGUUCAGAGGAAGGAGGAAUUAUGGAAAGUUGGAUUGGUGUGGAAAGGAAUCACAAGCAAGUACAACAGAUACUGAUAGCUUUUUAUCAAAACUAUUUCAUCUUAUCCCUGGGCCCACAACUUCCCUUGCCAUCUUAGAUGUGGCCACGUGAAUGAGUUCUAGCUAAUGGAAUAUUAGCCAUGCCCUGUGCCAUUUCCAGGCCUAAUUCAUGAGGUCCUCUCAUGCAUGUUCCUCCAUACACUUUCUCUUUGUGCAGCAGUGACAUUGGAAGCCAAGGGUUAAAGAUAGCAGAGCCAUCAGAUGGAAGAGCCGGGGUGCCUGGGUUCCUGAAUCACCAGUUGGAGGAGAGCCACCUGACUAACAGGAAUACCCAGUUUAGACUUUAUGAGAGCAAGAAAUAAACUUCAAUUGUGUUAAACAGAUACAGUUUGGAUCUGUGUCCCCACCCAAAUCUCAUGGCGAAUUGUAAUCCCCAAUGUUGGAGGUGGGACCUGGUGGAAGGUGACUGGAUCAUGGGGCCAGAUUUCCCCCAUGUGCUGCUCUAGUGAUAGUAAAUGCUUGAGAGAUCUAGUUGUUUAAAAGUGUGUGGCACCUCCCCCAUCUCUCACUUGGUCCUGCUCCUGACAUGUAAGACGUGCCUGCUUCCCCUUUACCUUCCACCAUGGUUAAGUUUCCUGAGGCCCCCCAGGAAGCCAAGCAGAUGCCAGCAUCAUGCUUCCUGUACAGCUUGUGAAACCAUGAGCCAAUUAAACCUCUUUUCUUUAUAAAUUACCCAGUCUCAGUUACUUCUUUAUAGCAGUGCGAGAAUGGACCAAUACAUAAACCAUUGAGAUUUUGGUGUUUUUCUGUCAUAGAGCUUAUGUUACUUAACUAAUACAGAAAGUGAGACUAGAACAGAAUGUUGAAGGAUAUUUAGAAUAUAGACAGUCACAGAAAAUGCUGAGGGCAUCUCAGACAGGAAGAAUUAGAUGACCAAUGUCAGGGAGAAGGAAAUGCAACACAGGUGGCUGAAAUGGAAUAUUAAAGGAAAUUUGAAAGUUAGGUAGUCUCAGUUUAUGGAGGCUAAGGCGUUUGCACCCAACUUUAUUGCCGAGGUAAAAAUUGGAAAGAUAAAGGGAAAUAAUAAUAAUACUAUACUUUACCAAAAUAAAAGUUUAUUGUUUCAGUGGUGGUGGAGGCAUGUUAUAGGAAGAUUCAUAUGGAAGUGGUGUUUUGGAUGGAUUAGCUAUUGAUGAGGUAAGAGUGAAGGCAGAGAUAACUUCCAGGAGAAUGUUGGUGAAGACCUGAACUGGGUGAUAGUGGAGGGGAUAAAAGCAAAGGCUGAACAUUUGAGUCUUUACUAAGUGUGAAUGUGGUUGACUAACAGUGGGAGUACUGAGAAAGGAAAGAAGGAACAUAACUUCCAGGUCCGUAUAUUAGCUCAGAACAGUGAGUGAUCCUUGUAAUUAUGAACUUGAGGCAUGAAGAAAAGAGAGUAUAAUGUUUAUUGUUGUCUUUAAGAAAACAAGGUGGUAUUAUAAUAUGUUGUAGGAAGCUCAUCAUCAAACUAGUUAACAUGUAAACACAUCAGCAUAUGGCAUGCACACAAAUCCAUCUUAUCUUCCUGGGCACAAAGGAAGAGUAUAUUUCCCAGGUCAAAACAUGUGGCUGAGUUCUAACCAGAAGAGUAUGGAUGGAAUGCUAUAUACCACUACUAGGUCUGUCCAUAUAUCCCUGGGUUUGAUUCCCCGGCCUCUUGAAGGCUACAUGUUUCAAAUGAUGAAUUGCAAUAUGAAAGAAUCCUAGAUCCCUGAGUCACCACUUGAAUGAGAGCUUUCCAGAAUAGCUACCCAAACACAUUAAACUGUGAUUUGAGAAAGAAAUACACUUUUAGUGCCUUAACCUCUAAGAUUUUAGGGUGUAUUUAUUAUAGUAGUAUAGCUAAUCUCUUUCUGAAUAAAACACAACUUUCAGUUUUUCAGCAAACUUUUAUUGAGAAUCUAAUAUAUUCAAAGGAUGAGAUAUUUCUAAAAAUCAGACUUUAUUUAUAACAUCUCCUGGUGGAAUAUCCCUAUGACAGCACUGUUCCAAUGGAUUUUUAUCAUCUUGAAAUUCAUAAAACUUUGAAGUCAUCCAUCUCCUGUUUACUCCCAUCCUCCCAUUAUUUGAAUGUUAGUUAUUAAAUUCUGGCCUUUGUGUCAGUUUUUAAAAUAAAAAUGUUGACAGCAUAUUUUGACUCUGCCUUUUAUUAAAUUACUUUUUGACAAAACUCUUAACAGAUGAGAAGAGC
rnacentral:lncRNA from 1 species